rnacentral:rRNA from 1 species
CACGUAGGGGCCAAGCGUUGUCCGGAUUUAUUGGGCGUAAAGAGCUCGUAGGCGGUUGGGUAAGUCGGGUGUGAAAACUCCAGGCUCAACUUGGAGACGCCACCCGAUACUGCUCUGACUUGAGUUCGGUAGGGGAGUGGGGAAUUCCUGGUGUAGCGGUGAAAUGCGCAGAUAUCAGGAGGAACACCGGUGGCGAAGGCGGCACUCUGGGCCGGUACUGACGCUGGAGGAGCGAAAGGCGUGGGGAGCGAACAGG